CGCUUCCCGAUUAAAACCAUGCAUGUCUAAGUAUAAAUCUCUUACUUUGAAACUGCGAACGGCUCAUUAUAUCAGUUAUAGUUUAUUUGAUAGUCCCUUACUACUUGGAUAACCGUAGUAAUUCUAGAGCUAAUACAUGCGUCAAUACCCUUCUGGGGUAGUAUUUAUUAGAUUGAAACCAACCCCUUCGGGGUGAUGUGGUGAUUCAUAAUAAGCUUGCGGAUCGCAUGCCUCACGGCGGCGAUGGAUCAUUCAAGUUUCUGCCCUAUCAGCUUUGGAUGGUAGGGUAUUGGCCUACCAUGGCUUUAACGGGUAACGGGAAAUUAGGGUUUGAUUCCGGAGAGGGAGCCUGAGAA
rnacentral:rRNA from 1 species